rnacentral:tRNA from 1 species
UCCGCAGUGGCGCAACGGUAGCGCGGCUUCCUGUUAAGAAGAAGGUUGUAGGUUCGAAUCCUACCUGCGGAG